GACUUUAGUUAAUCACUUUGUCCCUUGGGACGUUUUCUGCUCUGUGGGAUGGUGCUGAGAACCCUCUUGUCACAGGGCUGUAGGAGCACAAAGGGACCCAGGAGGUGACACAUGCUAUUGUCCAAAGGGACCUGAGGCCCUGGUGGAGCCUGGAAUCUAUUUUAGUAAGGGCCUGGGUGGCCUUCCCUCCCCUAAGGAGCCACCGUGGCCCUGUGAAUGAACCAGCCCGUCUGCUCUUGUCCGCCCGCGUGUGAGAAGGCUGUGAAAAAUACCUGUGAGAAGGACCGAGAGGAAGAGAGUUUAUUUUGGCUGCACGAGGCUCAGCUCAUGGUGGGCUGGCUUCAUCGCUUAGCACCGAGUCACCCCAAGAGGACAAGGACCACAGAACAAGAGCUUCACCUUCAAGAGGCGGAGGCCAGGAGAAAGCAGGUGAGGGUCGGGGAUGGUGCUGGAGACGCCUCGUGACUUAGAACAUGUCUGAGUCAGAAGAAGCCUGGUUACAUUUGAUGUCCUCUUAAAAUAUCUGGCCUAAAGCCAUCAGGCAGCAAAGGGAAGAGUGGCCUCAGAUAACCCCUGUCCCCACAUGGGUUCUUCCACCACUGUGUCACUGGACCCUGGUGAGACCCUGGGGUGGAGGGAGACAGGGCCCUAGGGGCUGGGAUGGAGGGGCACCGUCAGCUCCAGUCCUGGGGAUACGCACUCCAUCUGCAGCGAGUUUCUCCACCUCUUCAGGGUGUCUGGGAGCAGCAUGGCCUCCACCUUCCGCAUCUUGCCCGAGUCAGGGAGGAUGAAGAGUGCACUCGCAUUGCCAGCGUAAUCCAGCUGAAUCACGGUGCAGGAGAGCGCCUUGUCCCGGAAGUAGGGUAUGUACAGGUCCUCGGCGCUCAUCAUGGGCACUUUUAUCCACUUCUUCCCGUUCAAGUAGAACCUGGCCUCGGAGGUAUCGCCGGGGUAAAAGGGCGUCAUCCACUUGGCUAGAGGGGGAGCAAGCCGUCGCAGACCAUGAGCACCAGGGCACCUGUGCUCCACCCCAGCUCUGCCCCCAGCCACUCAGGGUCCCUCUCAGGGGUGACCCUGCCUGGGUUUGGGAAAAUCCCUUGGCAAGUGGAAAAGCCACGGGGGAAAGGGGAGACCCAGGGGCCUGGAUUGGAAAGGGGACCCUGAAACAAAGACCUGGUUACUCGGGCCAGAUGACAGGUAGCCAGGCAUCUGGGAAGAGGGGAUGCUGGAGAGAGGUGAAAAUAGGAGAGGAAAGAUGGGGCACCCCCUGAGAGUUGCUGAGGGGCAGAUAGAGAGGGCCUCACAGUGGGAACCAGGCAGGAGGGGUGAGGAGGCAGGGCUCAGGGCCAAGAGUGACCAUAGAAUAAAGCUCGUGGGCACUUGUGACAUCUCAGUGGUCAGGGUUACUGGACAGCCCAUAGCUAGGAAGUGUAGUUUGUGGUUCCCUGACAUACACGUGGGUCAUGUCCAUCUGCAUGGACCACAGGCGUCCAGCUCAGGCCUGCCCUAGGUUCUGAGUCUCUGGUCCCACUCCCAUCCCAACCCACAGACUUGGAACUGCAAGGAUUCCUUGGGCUCGGGACCCAGUGGCCCCCACGUGACGCGGGAGCCUCACCAGCCUUGUGGCCUCUGCGCUGUGGCUAGUGGAGACUUGCAAUUUAGUCUAACCUUCAGGCCCUCCUGGCGUUUCUUCCUGCCCUCUGCAGCCCACGGCAGCCCUGGGCCCAGCCUGUGCCCCUGCCCUGUCUUCUGUCUGCCCUUCCCUCUUGAUGAUUACCCUGGUUUCUGAGAACCAGCCACUUUCUGCCCCAGGCUGACUCCGGUGCCCAGGCUCUCUGCCAAUGAUUGCUGGUGCUGGGUGCCCAGUCCCAAUCUCUGAGCUCUCAACACGGCUUCCUAUCCUCUGGGGUUGAAAGAGAGACUCUAGGGUUGGGUGUUACUGCAUGUGGGCUCUGGGUGGGCCCCUGUCAUGACAUCUCCACCUGCUCGGUCUGUUGCAGGAUCCCAGCUUUCUCUCUCCUUGACCUAUUAGGGGUGCGGGCCGGGGACUCCGUCCUGGGUGCUGAGCUUGUAAUUCUGCCCAGUUGAAAUCAUGAGACUGCUGUGGCUGGUAGAGCUCCCGGAGCGGCCAGCAGCCCGAGGACCCCUGCCAGGCUGGCAUAAAAGAUCCUCACACUGAAGACCCAGCCACUGGGCUUCCUGUCACUCGGUGCCAGGCGACCAGCUUUCAACGAGAAGCCUUGUCUCCCUGCUGUGGGGCGGGGGCUCCCCUUCCUGCCCUCCCAGGAUGGUCCCCUGGGGCCUCCCCUUCCCUGCUGUCCUCUCACAGGCCACCACUGACUUCCCUGGGAGGGGCGGGGGCUCUGCUCUUAGUCUGUCUGGAUUCAGAAGAAAAGAAAGCCACUUUUUCUGGCAAA